UAAGGAAUAUUGGUCAAUGGACGCAAGUCUGAACCAGCCAUGCCGCGUGAAGGAUGAAGGUCCUCUGGAUUGUAAACUUCUUUUAUCUGGGACGAAAACGGGAUUUUUAUCUCAAUUGACGGUACCAGAGGAAUAAGCACCGGCUAACUCCGUGCCAGCAGCCGCGGUAAUACGGAGGGUGCGAGCGUUAUCCGGAUUUACUGGGUUUAAAGGGUGCGUAGGUGGGCUUAUAAGUCAGUGGUGAAAUCUCCGAGCUUAACUUGGAAACUGCCGUUGAUACUAUAGGUCUUGAAUUAUCUGGAGGUCAGCGGAAUAUGUCAUGUAGCGGUGAAAUGCUUAGAUAUGACAUAGAACACCAAUUGCGAAGGCAGCUUACUACAUAUAAAUUGACGCUGAGGCACGAAAGCGUGGGAAUCAAACA
rnacentral:rRNA from 1 species